GUCAGCAUGGUGUAGUGGUUUGAGAGUUGGACUAUGACUCUGGAGACCAGGGUUUGAAUCCCUGCUUGGCCA
rnacentral:tRNA from 1 species